UACAGAGGUCUCAAGCGUUGUUCGGAUUCAUUGGGCGUAAAGGGCUCGUAGGCGGCCAACUAAGUCGGACGUGAAAUCCCUCGGCUUAACCGGGGAACUGCGUCCGAUACUGGAUGGCUUGAGUUUGGGAGAGGGAUGCGGAAUUCCAGGUGUAGCGGUGAAAUGCGUAGAUAUCUGGAGGAACACCGGUGGCGAAGGCGGCAUCCUGGACCAACACUGACGCUGAUGAGCGAAAGCCAGGGGAGCAAACGGG
rnacentral:rRNA from 1 species